rnacentral:lncRNA from 1 species
UUUUAUGAAAGUUAAUUUUCGUUUUAAGUGACACAUGUGCACGAAACUAAAUAUUUCACUUUAAGUUUUACAAAUUUUGGGAUGAACGAUAACCGUACCCCUGGUGACGUCAUUUGUCGUUUUCCUGAUUUACACAGAAGACAGGCCCCCAGAAAAGGCCUGAAUGGCGCAUGAUACAAUGUCGGCGCAAACUUGUUUAGCUUUUGUUGCGGGUUGUAUGUGGUAUUACCUACCGUGAUAUUGUGAAAAUAUAUGAAGUUAUUACGAAGUUCUUUGGAAAAUUAACUAGGCUUCUGUGCCGCAGACAUCGUCAAAUUGAUCAUCACCAUAAUAUUGACAUGUAAAUGUCCUGCCAUACCUUUCAAUUUGGGCAAAACAGCGCAGCGCAGAAGAACCGGCAGACGCCGAUGUCCGGCCCGCGCUUCAAGAACUGACAGACGGCAGAUGCUGAUGUCCCGAUGUGCCACCGGGGCAGCGCAGUAAACCCGACGGACGCCGACGUCCAGUCCGCGCAGUGUAACGCAUAAGAACUGACAGACGUCGGUGUCCCGUCCGCUCAGAGCAGCGCAGAGGACCCGACAGUCGCCAGUGUCCCACUCCCGUCCACGCAUUGUAGCACAAAAGAGCGGCAAGGUGGCAUGACAACAACCAAUCACCGCGUCUAAAUCAAGCUUGGCAUGACAAGCGCAUUUACGACUGCGUCUCGCCAGAUAUCCUUCUGCAAUCCGGCGCCAGUCCGGACAGAUGAGUAGUGCGUACAUCAUUGUCAUCGUUCGAUUACUGCGUUUUUACAUAAUAAAUUAUUUUUUCCGUCACGCUC